UACGUAGGGUGCGAGCGUUAAUCGGAAUUACUGGGCGUAAAGCGUGCGCAGGCGGUUUUGUAAGUCUGACGUGAAAUCCCCGGGCUUUAACCUGGGAAUUGCGUUGGAGACUGCAAGGCUGGAGUCUGGCAGAGGGGGGUAGAAUUCCACGUGUAGCAGUGAAAUGCGUAGAGAUGUGGAGGAACACCGAUGGCGAAGGCAGCCCCCCUGGGUCAAGAUUGACGCUCAUGCACGAAAGCGUGAGGAGCAAACAGG
rnacentral:rRNA from 1 species